GACGAACGCUGGCGGCGUGCUUAACACAUGCAAGUCGAACGGUAAGGCCCCUUCGGGGGUACAUGAGUGGCGGACGGGUGAGUAACACGUGCGCAACCUGCCCUUGCCUUUGGGUUACCAGCUGGAAACAGCUGCUAAUUCCGGAUAUGACCUCUUCUCUCAUGGGUUGAGGUGGAAAGCUCCGGCGGUCAGGGAUGGGCUCGCGGCCUAUCAGCUUGUUGGUGGGGUAAUGGCUCACCAAGGCUUCGACGGGUAGCCGGCCUGAGAGGGCGACCGGCCACACUGGGACUGAGAUACGGCCCAGAUUCCUACGGGAGGCAGCAGUGGGGAAUAUUGCACAAUGGGCGGAAGCCUGAUGCAGCAACGCCGCGUGCGGGAUGACGGCCUUCGGGUUGUAAACCGCUUUCGGUAGGGACGAAGCUAACGUGACGGUACCUACAGAAGAAGGACCGGCUAACUACGUG
rnacentral:rRNA from 1 species